rnacentral:snRNA from 1 species
AUACCUUUCUCGACCUUUUGGCUAAGAACAAGUGUAGUAUCUGUUCUUAUCAGUUUAAUAUCUGAUAAAUGUGAACCUACAGGUUCACGGGGUGAACCUCUAAAGGUUUCCUAUAUGUUUGCCCCUCCGAUAUUAAUUUUUUAUAGGGAAAGGACCUUAAACAGUAGCUUGCUACUUGGGUCCUUUUGUGUCACCCUUGUUUUGCAGUUCCGUUAGGACUUGGCACACCCGCC